UUUUUUUUUAACUUGGGACUGCCAAGAGCUGAAGGAGAGUGGUGAGCAAAGGAAUGAAGGGAGAGAGAGAGAAACUAAACUGGAAGCUUGAGUUUUGUGUAGCUUCUUGAAACCUUAUGAAUGGAUUACUAGAAGCUGAGAGCCAGGAGAGACCUAUAGGGGAUGCAAGAUCCCUACACAUUAAAAGGGGGAGAAAAGCAGGCGGAAUUCUUCUUCCUGGCUGUGUUAUCCCUCCUUCCUGAAAUGAAUGGAACCCACAAGACUCCCAGAAGGUGAAGUUAAGAGCUCCCAGACUCAUAAGGUUAUUAGAACAGCAAACUGGCACCCCAAAGAACUUUACGGAGACUUGCAACCUAUCAACAAGUUGGAUGAGGGAUUAAAAGCCUUCAACAACCAACAACCCCAAGCAUCAAACUGAAGGAAACAUUCUAACCUUCACAGACAGACUGGAGGCUGGAUGGGGACCUGGCUGAAGACAUCUGGAGAAUGAAAGUUAAGUACCAGCUUGCAUUUUUGUGCCCCUAGAUUAUUUUUGCAUUUUAAAAUAAGAAGCAUCAAAUUGCGUGUCUCUGUGUAAAAG
rnacentral:lncRNA from 1 species